rnacentral:rRNA from 1 species
GGGAAAUUUACCAGGUCAAAAACAUGGUUGGGAUUGACAGAUUGAGAGCUCUUUCUUGAUUUAUGGGGUGCUGGUGCAUGGCGCUUCUUAGUGGUGGAGUGAUUUGUCUGGUAAUUCCGUUAACGAACGAGACCUUAACCUGCUAACUAGUGCGCUUGUGAACAACAGGUGGCACUUCUUAGAGGGACUAUGUCUUUUAAAGACAUGGAAGUUUGAGGCAAUAACAGGUCUGUGAUGCCCUUAGAUGUCCUGGGCCGCACGCGCGCUACAAUGACACGUUCAGCAAGUUUUUUCCUGUUCCGUAAGGAUACGGGUAAUCUUUUUAAUACGUGUCGUGUUAGGGAUCGAUCUUUGCAACUAUAGAUCUUGAACGAGGAAUUCCUAGUAAGUGCAAGUCAUCAGCUUGUACUGAUUACGUCCCUGCCCUUUGUACACACCGCCCGUCGCUCCUACCGAUUUCGAGUGGUCCGGUGAACCUUCUGGACUGUGAUUACUCCAGUAGUUACGGGAAGUUAAGUAAACCUUAUCACUUAGAGGAAGGAGAAGUCGUAACAAGGUUUCCGUAGGUGAACCUGCGG